UUUUUAUUUGACGUUAACAAUCACGUGUCGCAUUUUUAUUAGAAGUUGACGUUAAUUAAGUGUACAAAAUUAACAUUCAAUAAAAGUACGACACGUGACAAUCAACGUCU
rfam:Glycine soja cultivar W05 scaffold797_16, whole genome shotgun sequence.